UGUUUUAGUGAUGUCAGCUAGUGCAGUUCUCAAAUGGCUGCCUAUUAGGAAAAGAAUUCAGAGGAUUUGACUGCUCCUAAUCAUCUGUCAUUGCUGCUAGAUAAUGAUUGGCAAUUUUUAAGACUCAACUGGAAAUCUCAACAGUUGCUGGUAAACCAUUAACCAUAAAAACGUUGCUUUUGAACACCAGUGCUGAAAAAAAUUUUUUUUUUUUUUUUUUUUGAGAGCGAAAAGGGCUUGGACGUAAGAUAGGACAAUGUGGAGAAUGGGGGGAAGAAUGCAAAACGAUAUAGUAUCCCUUAUGGAUGGUACAUGUGCAACAGGGAACUCUUACUUCAUAUACCCUUUGCAGUAAUCAUUCAGGGAGGAAGAAAAACCUGGAACUUGAAUGAAGGCUGAUCUUUGUUUUGUGCACUGUGGCCCUGCCAGGCAUAUAGUGAAGGUAAGAAUGAUUGAUGUUGGCUGAUAUUGGAGUGCUUGCUCACAUGAAGUGGAUAGAUACUUCUCAAGACAUCACACAGCGUGAGUCAAUCAAGGAGGGAAGCCACAAGCAGACUGACAACGUUUCUAGGAUCAGGUGAGCUGUGUCCAGAAAACCAACAAGAAGGAGUGGAAGGAGGAAUGAACGUUUCAUUCUCGUUAAUAAAGGCAUUAUCCUAAUUA
rnacentral:sRNA from 1 species